ensembl:lncRNA
AUAUAGGGCUGUGUGGGGGUUGUUGGAGGACAUGAGGCUAUAGGGCGGUAGGGUGGCUCUAGGGUUGGCUCUAGGGGUGUGCGGGGCUUUAUGGAGCUUAAUUGUAUCUCUAGGGGGGCUAUGGGGCUCUAGAAAGCUGUGGGGGACUGUAGAAGGGGUAUUGGGGUAUAUGGGAAAAGAGGGGGAUGUGGUUGGAAUCUAGGGAUCUGUGGGCAGCUAUUGGGGGAUAUGGGGCUCUAGGGUGCUGCAGGGUCUUUAGGGAGUGUUUUAGGGCUAUAUGGGGGAUAUAGGGGGAUUUGGUUCUCUAGGGGGCUGUGGGGGUAUAGGGGUGAUAUGGGUCUGUAGGGGGCUUUGGGAGGAGCUCCACGGUUCUAUGAGGGGUCUGUAAGGGCUAUAGGUGUGUUCGAGGGGGAUAUGUGGCUUUAGGGGUUUGUGGCAACAUGUGGGAGGGUUGAGGGUGCUAGGGGUUGGGGGGGGCUCUAGGGCAGGAUGUUGUGCUGUAGGAGAUUGUGGGGGCCUGAGGGAGGAUAUAGGGUGUCUGUGGGGAUAUAGGGGAGAUAUGGAGUCUAGAAGGGUUCUAGGGGGAUAUGAGGCUGGAUAUGGGAGAGUGUGGGGGGCUCUGGAGGGAGUCUAGGGCCAGUGUGGGUCUGUGGGGAGCUAUAAGGGGAGAUUGGGCUUUAGAGGCUGGGGGACUGUAGGGAGGGUCUUAGGGCUGUAGAGGGGACAUGGGGUGCUAUGUGGCUGUAGGGAGCAGGGGAAUAUUAUGACGCUGUAGGGGGCUAUUGGGAAAGCUAUAUGGUUCUAUGGAGAGGCUAUAGGAGCUUUAUAGGUGGUUAUGGGGCUUUAGGGAGCUGUGGGUGGUCUGUAGGAGGGUUCUAGUAGGGUAGGAGGCUAUAGGGGGCUGUGGAGGGGAUAUAGGGAGAUAUGGGUAGUAGUGAAUUUUUAGGGGGUUGUGGCAGGCUGUGGGAGGGUAUAGGAUGAUAGGGGGCCAGGGAGGGUCUGUAGAGAGGGAUGUUAUGCUGGAGAAGGUAUGGGGGGCUAAAAUGGGGCUUUGGGGGUUACAGAGGGGCUGUGGUGGGCUAUUUGGGGAUAUAGGGAGAUAUAAGGCUAUAGGGGGUGUUUGGAGGAUGUGGUCCUCUAAGGGGCUGUGUGGGUCCAUAGGAUGAUCUGGAGCUAUAGGGUGAUCUCUAAAGGGAUGUGGGGCGAGAAGGCUCUCCCUUCCUUCUUUCCCCCCUUUCCACAGCAGGGAGGGUGAAAUGCUAGUCAUGAAAUUGAAACUGGAACUGAAGUUGUCUUGCAAUAGAAUAUGAUGCUUUUGUGGUCUUCAAUCUGAAACGUGUUUUCUCCUUGGGCUUUAGGUAAUCUGUUUAUGUUUAAUGAUUAUGUUUAAUAAUCUAAUUUUGUUUCAUAAUGCCUUUUGAAAAGGUUUCAGUCUCACCGCGAGAUCCCUUCCAAGAGGCACUGCCCCUACUGCUGCAACGGCCCCAGUCUGGGACGCCCUUUUGUAAGGGGUUGUGUUUUUCGUUCUGCAGCUGACUUGGGUUUCUUCUGCCACUGUCCCAUGAAAGAGUUGAUUUGCUUCAGUCCAUCCCUGCUCCGUUCCUGGUUCAAGCCAAGCUCCAGUCCCUUCCCCGGUCUCAGUGGGAUCAGUUUGUUCUCUUCUCAUCCACUUACAGAAACAGAAGCUACGAACCCACCAAACCCUGGGACAGGUAUUUCCCUACAGAAGCAUUCAUGUUCUUCUUCUGGCCCCUUUGGCCAGUUCCCAGCUCUCCAAACUGAGGCGUACGGCUGCAGCCCUCCCCAUGGCUUCUUUGGGGCAGCUGUGGGGCAGCUCCACCCAGAGGAGGAGAUGCCUUUUCCCCACACGCAACUGGUUCUACAUCCACAUGAGGUGAGGACGUGGGGUCGUGUGUGACAUGGUGGUCCAGCAGUGUCAGAGUUACGGGGUGAUGUGGGGCUAUAGGCUCAGAUUGGGUGACAUGGAGUUCAUGGUCCCAUGGGGUUGUAUGGUCGGGGUGAGGUGGGGGCAGGGAUCCCAGAGUCAUGGGGACACAUGGCAUUGGAUCACAGUGUGAUGGGAGCAGGCAGAGUCAGGGAGUCACAGGGUCAUGUGGGGGUAUGGUUCCCCCAGGGCUGCGGGUCACGUGCAGCCAUGGGGUCACGCACAUACAGGGUGAUGAGGUCAUCUUGGGUUAUGGCUCAUGUGGGGUUACGGCUCAGGGCCCCACCUUUGGGCCACAGGGACGCCCAGUCUCCUCUCAAGAUGAAAUGAAACCACUCCAACACUUCCCCCCCCAACCUCUUUUUACCUCAAACUGCUCCCCACAUCCUCCCAUACUCUCUAUGUCCCCAUACUACCCCAUACCCCUGUGUCCCACCUGCAGCUCACGUCUUGUCUUCUCCUGAACAGCAUUCUGCUCCUGAAGGCUGUGUCCCCAUAUCCCCCAAUGUCCCUAUAUCCCCCCCACGGCCCCCACAGAGCCCCAUAGCUCCUCAAAAACCUUUUCCCAGUACACCUCCCCCCGGAAACCUGGGACCUCACAGAGCCCCACAGUCCCCAGCAGCAACCCACGUCCCCCUCUGAGCUCCCGCUGAACCCCCCUAUUUCCUUUCUCAGAUAUCCCUUACACCCUCAGCCCCCCCCCCUGCUUCUCGGACUCCCACAGUUUCUGAGAGGACCGCCAUCACCAUCCCAGGAUCCCCAUAUCCCACCGAUGAGGAACCCCACAUCAAUCCACAUCUCAGGAUGGGGCUUCAGCUGUGCCCCGAUGCAUUCAUUCAAGAGAGGAGAAUGAAUGAGCGUAAGGGGGCGCCUUUCCUCCUGACAUUACCCACCGCCUGCGUGUUGGCUGUGCCGUGCCAGCAGCAUUUUGUCCUCGAGCUGUGAGUGCAGGUAUGCGUGCAUACGGGGGUGUGCAGAGGUGGGGCUGAACAUCAGAGCAUGCAUUGCACGUCGCUGUGUGCACAGUGCUUGCAGGUGAAAGUUUUGCAUCUGUGUGCAUGCACAUGGCAGUGUGCAAGGCUGGAGCAGUGCUCGAGUCUUCGUGCUCGUGGGUGUGCAGAGGGAUGGGGUGCACGCUUGUGAACACAGCGCCAUGGGAGGCACUGCAAAGGAAACAGCUCCAUCCCAUCUGGAGCAGUGACAGGCAGGCAGACACUGGGGAGGGCUGCGCGGCAGAGGGACGCCCUCUGAGUGCCACAACAUGGAGCGCUGUCUGCAAGCAGAACAGUGCCGGGAUGGCAGCCUGGUGGUCCUAAGCUGCAGAGAUGCUCCUCUGGACCAACAGCCUGUCAUUUUUUCAGAAAACGCCGUCCUUUUGCUGAACUUUGCUCAUUGUACACCCGUCAUCACAGCAAAAAACGCUCGGUGCUGCCCUGGGAAACUCAGCAAUCUCCACAGCGUUGCUCUCCAAGUUAGCACGCUCAUGGCCAGGCUUUGUUCCCUGCAGCUCUUUGCAUGUGCUUUGCAGACAGUCUGUCUGUGGGCAGUGCAAAGGACUGCUGCCUCCGUUGCAUCACUGGACGACAGCAUUCGCUGACGGAGCUGUGGCAGUUCUGAGCGAGCGCCGCGAGACCAAUAACGAGGAGGUGGUGCAGCAGCUCUCCGAGUGCCGCUGGACAAAUCAGGCCUUUCGCACUCUGUGAAUCUAUAAAUUUGACUGGUUUUUAUUGACUUCGUUUGAAGGUGGAGUGCUGAGAUGGGCGGCACUCAGCGCUGCCCUGUAACGCCGCGCACUGCAGAAGCUGCUGCCUGCUGACGCUCCUCCUCUCAGUCCUUCAGCUGCAGCUUCUGCAUCAUCUCCACAAGGCUGUCCACUGCGGAGGCCUGGGAAGAAACGGAGCGAGGGUAGAAACAGGACACCACUUCCCUCGGGAUUUUACACUCUCUUCCUUUCAUGUGUGACAGACGGAGGCCCUGAGAACAAGAAGAGCCGUGUCUGUGUUCACCAAGGACUCACCUUCUGCACGUGCAGCGGCAGCUCUGAGGGCAGCCUUCUUCAGCUCCACUCUCCUCUCUUUCUGUCGCUGUCUUCUUGCUAUAGGCAAUAAACAUAGAUGAAUUCAUUUUAUCAGCAGCACAAGUGCAGAAACAUGGGUGCCGUACAAGCAUAAGGCAGCAAAAAGACGGAGGAAAUGGGACUAGGAAGCCUCCUUGUGAAUGAAAUUUCCAGGGGGACGUGCAGAAGACCACCCUGGAGUUAACGGGAAGAGAAGGGGUUACACGUUCGGGCACCUCACUGCCUUUGGACUUUGUAGCCUUCCACUCUUUUCCCCUCCACAGAGAAGGAAAAAGCAAAGCCAACCCUAAGCAAACUCAGUGUGCUCGCACAGGGAAGUGCCUCAGCACGGCGGGUACCACAGCACCUUCUCACCUCUUUGCUUGGAGCUCCGCGCUGCAGCAGGCCCAGGGUGUGCUGCUGGAGCCGGCACACAGUCUCCACUCGGCCCCCUCACUCUCUUAUUGGAAGGCAGCUGAGCUGCUGUUGGUUUCUCUUCCUCCAAGGCCUUGCGUUUAUAUCCAGCCAGGGUGCUGGAGACAGAGCGGGGGCACACGGCAGGGGAAGGUCUUCCCCCUGUGCUGGGACCUGCUCUUCUAAGAGGACCUCCAGCCUGGAGAGGAGCUUGAGCUGCUGCCUGUUGAGAAGCUCUCUCAGUAUGGACCUGCUGGACCACUUUGACAUAGAUUUUGUCAUUUCGCUCAGCACCAAUCUCUGUUAAGAAAGGAAAAACAAGGAGAUUUAAUGAGAGCCCAACACUACUUUCAGCCUGCAAAACGGGUCACAAUCCUGGGACAUCUCAUCUCAAGUGCUCACGGUCAUGGAUCAUAGGAUCUCGGCUGAACUGUGGGUUCACAUUUCUAAUCAGCACAGGAAUGCUAACUGUACAUGCCAGGGAUUAAGACCAGAACAAACACACAACGUCCACAGUCCCAGGAAAGGACGGACAGAAAGCCUCACUAGAGAGACAGUGCACCAAACCCAGGUGCCUGCUGUGUGUCUGUACCUCUCUUGGGUGCUGUGCCACACUGGGCGCUUCUGCCUUGCCUUUCUGCAAGGCUGCGCUUUGCUGGAAGGCCGCUCGCAUCAGCUUCUGGCAGAAAGGAGACAAGACAGACAUGAAGAGCAUCUCUAUGGCGGAAGAUUUGAGCACAGCCAACCACAAUCUUCUGGUCUUCAAGAGCAGUUUCUUCAGCUUGCCUUUCUGCUGCUACAACAUUAUGCCGCUUCUGCAGUCAGCACAGCUCACAAGAGCUUCUUACCUGCGGAGGCUUUGCGUUUCCAGCCUUGCCCAGCACCACUCCAUGGACGCGCAGGCUCCAUCCCUACAACAACAGAUGGUGUGUUGAUUUCACAGACACCAGCAGGCAGCAGAAGUACUGCCCAGUAUGCCCACGUCCCCCCAGAAAACAGAAAGAGGCUACUUGGACAGCCCAAACACAAACUGAUUGAGAGUUCACUUCUCACUGCUCCUUCCUGCACUCCAAAGGGAUGCUCACUUGACAUCCCCUGCAGCGCUGCACCCGCCCAGAAGGAAUACUCAAAAUUCAUUCCUCCACACUUCACGACAGAUGGCUGAAGAAACUCACUUCUGUAUGGCAUGAAGGACCGUCCGUCCCUGUUGCGUCCCUCUGUGCGCUGGAAGGCGCGGUGGGAUCUCUGGCAGCCUGCUGGCUGCUGCUCCCAACCGCGGGGAACCGCACCGCGCCGCUUCUGAAGAGAGAAAGGAAGAAACGGUGGUGGGAACGGGCAGCCAAGGCUUGCAGAGAGGUUCCAGAUGGUGCCAGAGAGGGGAUGUCAGAGUGCUGAGACACUGAUUAUCACUAAGGGAAAAGACGGCCUGAGCCACGUCCGCGUUGUUAGCCCAGGCUGUCAGCAGUGAGCGCUGAAUGCAACCGGUUACUGAGGUCACCAAGGACCAGCAGGGCUCCCCCUGCUCCAUCCAUUCCCCAUGAUAAAAAGAGAAAGGAAGAACCAAGCAGAAGAAGCCCAGCCAUACCUUGCCACUCAGACGGCAGCAAUUGGAACCGCGGUCGUCUCCGUGCUGAGACAUGGCCGCUGAAGGCUCAGAGGAAGCUGAAGGUCCCAGGCCUCUGUGCACAGGAACUUCCCCGGCCCUUGCAAAGAGCUGGCUUCCCUCUUCCUCCGACUGCCUCGAUCCCAAAAUCUCCCUUGGGACAGGAACCCUGCAGAGAGUACCGACGAGUGCACACGCGGUGCUUCUGACGGGCUCUCACAGGGUGAUCUGUUCCACGGAAGGCCCAGAGCUCAGCCUCGGUGUGCAGCACGCUCACCAGAGCACCAGCUCUGCUCACCAGCUGUGGCGGAAACGCUGCCAGCCCAGCAGUGAUUGUGACCUCAGCGAGUGCCCGCAUCGCUUCCGUGCUUUCAUCAUAAGCGAAGGAAAUGGACGACUCCCUGAUCCACAUCUUAGGAAAUCACCACCAGGGUCACCCAGUGGGGUUAUUUGAAUAAUGGAGAAGUGAAGAUGACUGUUGUGCAGCCCAGUAAAAACCAGUCAAGACCAGUAUGGCCUCAGAGUGGUCAAUGGAGUCCCAGGGGAACCCGUAGAAAACUAAACCCAGGGCCUGUGCCAGCAUCUCUGUUUGGGGCUUUGAGUCCCAGGGCUGAUUUCAGCCUCUCCGGCUGUGGCUUUAAGUCCCAGGGCCAGUGCUGGGCUCCCCGCCUGUGUCUGUGGCCUCAGGCCCUUGGCUGCUUCUGGCCUCUGCAGCUGGCAUUGUGGCUUUAAGCCCUUGGACUGGUUCCAGCCUUUCAGGCUGUGGUUUUGGUCCCCAGGAUUGGUACCAAAUUUGAAGAAACCAACAGGAGGCUCACCCAAUGGGGUUCUGUGAAGCAUCAGAACAGAGAAAUACACACGAUUGUUGUGUAGCCAGGCUGGGUCAGCCUCUCGCUCAGGUGCUGCAUGAUUCGAAGCAGGAGACGUUUCCCCCAGGCUGCAUCCUGAUUGGGGUCAUUGGAGACAAUGGGGUCAUUGGGGUCUAUGGGGACAUUGGAGUCAAUGGGGUCACUGGGGUCAAUGGGGGUCAUUGGGGUCAGUGGGGGCCAUAGGGGUCUUUGUGGUCAUUGAAUUAAAUGGGGUUAUUAGAGUGAAUGGGGUCAUUGGUGUCAGUGGGGUCAUUGGAGUAAAUAGGGUCAUUGAAGUGAAUGGGGUCAUUGGAUUCAAUCGGAUCAUAAGGGUCAAUGUGGUCCCUGCGGCAAUGGGGGUCAUUAGGGUCAAAGGGUGUUAUUGGGGUCAUUGUAGUCAAUGGAGUCAUUGGGGUCAAUUGGUUCAUUGGGGUCAAGUGGCUUAAUGCGGUCAGUGGGGGUUAUUGGAGUCAAUGGAGUCAUUGGGAUUAAUGGGGUCAGUGGGGUCAAUAGGGUCAUAUGAGCUUAAUGGGGUCACUGGGGUCAGUAGGGUUAAUGGGUUGUUGGGGUCUUAUGGGGUCAUGGGUAUCAUUAGGAUCUUUGGGAUCGGUGGGGUCAGUGGGGUCAUGUGGGGUCACUGGGCCCAUGUGGGAUCAUUGGGAUCAUGAGGAUCAGUGGGGUUAUAUGGUUCAUGUGAGGUCACUGUGGUCACUCGGUCAAAAAGGUCUAUGGGGUCAGUCGGGCCUAUGGGGUCAUUGGAGGCCAGAAGGGUUUGGGCUUCCAAGCAAUCACCAAGCUUUUGGAUGAGCCAGCCCUCUGCUUUUUGUGAGGACAGACCCCAACGAGCCCACAUAACCCGAAUAACCUCCUUGACCCCCACAGACAAGUCCUCCUUGGAAAGCCAUCUCGGCAAGGGCAGAAUAGCGCUGUUCUUGGGCCGCAGCACUCCAUGGCCAGGCGCUGCUCAGACACUGGGGCUGCAUUUCCUCCUGGGCACCCACACAUGCUGCGAUUCCCCUGCAGGUUCCUGCCGGGUUUGUGGCUUCCUGCUGGGGAACUCCUCAUCUUCUUCUGCAACUGCCCCCCAACGUCACUACUGCCUCCUCUGGUGCUGUACUGGCAGAUGCCUCAGCGUUCAUGAGCCUGGACUUCCUGCCUCCCAUCAGCAGCUGCUCCUUCAUUCAUACUGCAAUACCGUCCACUUCCAGCUCCAGCAGAGCUGCAAGGCAGAGAUGGGAAACGUGGGAUUAAUGCAAAAGCAGAAGCCCAAGGCUGUCCCACCACCACGUAUUGCAGCCUCGGAAAGUCAGCUGCAACUACAACCUCUGUCAGAAUCAAAACAGGCACCGUACAUUAAGGGUCACCUCUGAACUGAAGGAAUUACCACAGUUGGAAAUAAAUACUGAAAUUGCUCAUUUAUCUGUAGGUGGUUACCGCUGUAUUCUUUGGCUUUUGGGAAAAUGUGGACUUGGAAUUGAAGGAUACAAGGAAAAGGAGCAGCACUUGGCAACUCCUGCAAACUGAGCAGUGCGGGGAAGAUUGUGUCAUUUCUUCUCCGGGCCCACAAAUUAAGUUUCCUUCCUUACAAAGAGAAGGGAAAAAGAGCCUGACAUAAAGGAGACACAGUGCAGUCUCACCUCACACGUAGAAGAAGGAGAGCUCUCAUGGCACUAAUCAUAGAAUCACGGAAUCAUAGGAUGGCCUGGGUUGAAAAGGACGUCAAAGGUCAUUGAGUUCCAACCCCCAGCUAUGUGCAGGGUCGCCAACCACCAGACCAGGCUGCCCAGAGCCACAUCCUUGGCCCUGAAUGCCUCCAGGGAUGGGGCAUCCACAACCUCCCUGGGCAACCUCUUCCAGCGCGUCAGCACCCUCUGAGUGUAAAACUUCCUCCUAGUAGCUAAUGUAAAUUUCCCCAGUCUCCAUUGAAAAGCA